rnacentral:tRNA from 1 species
UUAUGUUAAGAUGGCCCAAAUGAAAGAAAGCCGGAAUAGCUCAGUUGGUAGAGCAGAGGACUGAAAAUCCUCGUGUCACCAGUUCAAAUA